CAGCAAGGUUACAGCCACUCAGGCUUCUCCAGCCUUUGUUUUCUAGGUUUAGUUGCAACAGAGAUCUUAAGUUAAUAGAGAACUCAUUUCUGUGUGUUUUACUGCUAAUGGUUAAAGUGUUUGGAUCAGAAACAAUGCAAAUUAUAUCAAGAGAAAAAUAUGGGGAGCUAUCCCAAGAGCAGAGACCCAGCUUUUGUCAAGCUUUUUCUUAUUUUGAGUGGUAAGGAUCUGCUACAGAUCUUAGAAUAGAAUGAGAUUUUUUUUUAACAUGGAAACACAUGAUUUCCAAUACACUUCCUUGGGUAGCGUAACUGGUUUUAACAGAAUACUACAUCCAGUCAUGUACUGUAUAUGUGUUCACGUCAACAUGAAACUCCAGAUGAUUUAUACCUUGACAUCCUGGCCUAUGGCCAUACACCAAAAGCAAGAUCCAUUCACGGGAUGAUACACACAUCUUUCCACCACAGAGAAAUCGUUUGGAAAACAGAAAGCUAUUUUCUAGGAAAGAAGCUAAUCCAUGGGAAAUGUCUUUCCAUUAGCUUUGGAUGGCUAUGGGUCAAGAUGGAUGAGUGUGAAGUGUUAUCAUUAUACACCAAGAAUGCUAGCACUCAACACACAUGCAUAACAUGGGCAAAAGCUUGGCCCACAGCAUAAAUAUCAAUACAGCAUAAAUCCUGCAAGCAGCAACAUGAGCACAUUUCAGUUAGCUCAUCUCCCUGAUUCUGCCUCUUCUGAAAACCUGUAGCUAAAUCACUUCACCUGCCAUCCCUGGGGAAGAGGAAUGGAUCUGCAGCUGCCUUUUUUUUUUGAAAAUACGUUGGCAUUACUUGUUCUAAUACAAAGCCAAACAUGAAAAUUCCAGGAGCCCAUUCUAGGAGCUGGAAGAAUAAGGGGUUUAGUUUCACCAGCUUUGCAGUGUGUGUGUGUGUGUGUCUAUUUGCUGAUGAGCUGUGGGGAGAUUGCUAUCAUUACUUUCCCCACAAGUUGCCCCCACAAAAUUUCCAUCCCCUAUUGUGAAACUCUCAUGAGAUCAGUGAGUUUAGUUAUCUUGGGCCAAAAUCUAUUCUGAUGAGACUCUUGCUACAGACAAAUAGGAAACAGCUGCCUUGGGCUGCACACAUGCAUCUUGUGAUGUCUCCAAGCCCUUUGAGAUGGUGCAAGAGGCACAUGCAGGAGCAAGAAAAUGGGCAACCAGAGGCUCGGUCCUCCACAGAGAUGCUCUGGAAGCCUGCCAGAGCGUCCCUGUGGUUGGC
rnacentral:lncRNA from 1 species